rnacentral:rRNA from 1 species
GAGGGCUUCGACUGCUUAUUGCACCACAUGUGUUUUUCUUUGAAACAAACUUGCUUUGGCGGUGGGCCCAGCCUGCCGCCAGAGGUCUAAACUUGCAACCAAUUUUUUAUCAACUUGUCACACCAGAUUAUUACUAAUAGUCAAAACUUUCAACAACGGAUCUCUUGGUUCUCGCAUCGAUGAAGAACGCAGCGAAAUGCGAUACGUAAUAUGAAUUGCAGAUAUUCGUGAAUCAUCGAAUUUUUGAACGCACAUUGCGCCCUCUGGUAUUCCGGAGGGCAUGCCUGUUUGAGCGUCGUUUCUCCCUCAAACCGCUGGGUUUGGUGUUGAGCAAUACGACUUGGGUUUGCUUGAAAGACGGUAGUGGUAAGGCGGGAUCGCUUUGACAAUGGCUUAGGUCUAACCAAAAACAUUGCUUGCGGCGGUAACGUCUACCACGUAUAUCUUCAAACUUUGACCUCAAAUCAGGUAGGACUACCCGCUGAACUUAAGCAUAUCAAUAAGCGGAGGAA